rnacentral:rRNA from 1 species
AUUGAACGCUAGCGGCAUGCUUAACACAUGCAAGUCGAACGGCAGCGCGAGGUGCUUGCACCUUGGCGGCGAGUGGCGGACGGGUGAGUAACGCGUAGGAAUCUACCUUGUAGUGGGGGACAACCCGGGGAAACUCGGGCUAAUACCGCAUAAUCUCUACGGAGCAAAGUGGGGGAUCGUAAGACCUCACGCUAUAAGAUGAGCCUGCGUCGGAUUAGCUUGNGGUGGGGUAAGGCCUACCAAGGCGAUGAUCCGUAGCUGGUCUGAGAGGACGAUCAGCCACACUGGGACUGAGACACGGCCCAGACUCCUACGGGAGGUAGCAGUGGGGAAUAUUGGACAAUGGGCGAAAGCCUGAUCCAGCAAUGCCGCGUGUGUGAAGAAGGCCUUAGGGUUGUAAAGCACUUUC